GCGCGAGUGGCGGAAUUGGCAGACGCGCUGGAUUUAGGUUCCAGUGUCUACGGACGUGGGGGUUCAAGUCCCCCCUCGCGCACC
rnacentral:tRNA from 2 species